CUUUACUGUAGCCUGGAAUUGGGUUCGGGCUUGGCCUGCGCAGAAUAGGUGGGAGGCAUUGAAGUACCCCUUGUGGGGGGUAUGGAGCCAUCGGUGAGAUACCACUCUGUUAAGGCUAGAAUUCUAACCUUCACCCGUAAUCCGGGGAGGGAACAGUUUCAGGUGGGCAGCUUGACUGGGGCGGUCGCCUCCUAAAUGGUAACGGAGGCGCGCAAAGGUUCUCUCAGGCUGGUUGGAAAUCAGCCAACGAGUGUAAAGGCAUAAGAGAGCUUGACUGCAAGACAAACAAGUCGAGCAGGGACGAAAGUCGGCCUUAGUGAUCCGACGGUUCCGAGUGGAAGGGCCGUCGCUCAACGGAUAAAAGUUA
rnacentral:rRNA from 1 species